rnacentral:rRNA from 1 species
UACGUACGAGGCGAGCGUUAUCCGGAAUUACUGGGCGUAAAGCGCGCGCAGGUGGUUCGUUAAGUAGGGCGUGAAAUCUCCCGGCCUAACUGGGAGGGGUCGCCCCUAGACUGGCGGACUUGAGGCUGGCAGAGGUAGGUGGAAUUCCUGGUGUAGCGGUGAAAUGCGCAGAUAUCAGGAGGAACACCGGUGGCGAAGGCGGGUCUCUGGGCAGUAACUGACGCUGAGGAGCGAAAGCGUGGGGAGCGAACAGG